rnacentral:misc_RNA from 1 species
GAAGAAACCUGAUGUCAAGGCCAUAAAAAUCUCUGGUUGAUUAAUAUCUUUAUUGUAAAUGGAGCGGAUGUGACAACACUUCGUUGGAUUAAUAAACAGUGGCUGAUACACUGUGUGAUUUUCUAAUGGUCUAAUAGAACUAGUCUGCAUAUUUUCAUUGUCCUUAAAGAUAUUUUAUUUUCUGCUUUAUCUUUACAGUAAGUUACAAAAUAUUUAUACCAUAAAAUGCUUAUACAUUAUUAUUAUUUUACUAAAAUAAAUAACAUUUUUAC